CUACGGGACGCUGCAGUGGGGAAUAUUGCACAAUGGGGGAAACCCUGAUGCAGCAACGCCGCGUGGAGGAUGACGCAUUUCGGUGUGUAAACUCCUUUUAUAUCCCAAGAUAAUGACGGUAGGAUAUGAAUAAGCACCGGCUAACUCCGUGCCAGCAGCCGCGGUAAUACGGAGGGUGCAAGCGUUACUCGGAAUCACUGGGCGUAAAGGGCGCGUAGGCGGGUUGUCAAGUCUUGAGUGAAAUCCAACGGCUCAACCGUUGAACUGCUUGAGAAACUGGCAGCCUAGAGUAAGGGAGAGGUAGAUGGAAUUGGUGGUGGAGGGGUAAAAUCCGUAGAGAUCACCAGGAAUACCCAUUGCGAAGGCGAUCUGCUGGAACUUUACUGACGCUGAGGCGCGAAAGCGUGGGGAGCAAACAGGAUUAGAUACCCUUGUAGUC
rnacentral:rRNA from 1 species